GCCUCCCCAGCCUCUGGGAAAUAGUUUCUGCUCUUCCUUCCUGGACUCGGGCUUACAGCUCUCCUUUUCAAUCUUAUUAACAAGUAGGAAUGCUAAUCUAUUAAGAAUACAUUUAGGGGCAACAUUUACCCACUGAUAUAGCUGGACAGAAUCUCAAAAUACUCAACAGCCCAAAGGUAUCACCCUGGACAGCAGCCGGCACAGUGGCGUCAGGGGGCCGCAGCCGCUCCCAGCACUGCUCUGAGUGCAGGACGCGUGGCCAGAGCAGAACAAGGAAACUCAAGGAGAAUUCUGCUGGACGGCUGGAGAGAGUAGGGGCCCCGAGCGCCUGGCAUGGGGCGGGGAUGGAGGACAGGUCGUACACGGCAAACCCGCGUCCCCGAGGGAAGCGCGACACCAACGUCCCAUGUUUUUCACACACGCACUGAUCGACUGGGAAGAGGAAUUUCUCCUGGACCGUUUUUUUUUUUUUUUUUCUAAAUGCUUGUAAUAUUUUGCUGUUACUGGAGAUCUCUAGUACUGGACUGAGAUCUAUAUAGUGUAUAUAGUAUAUACACUAUACACUAUAG
rnacentral:lncRNA from 1 species